ACAGCUUUUCAACCUUUUGGGGAAGCUCAAGUGUAGUGUGUUCUUACCAGUUUCUUAUCUGAUAGGUGGCUGCAAGGAUUCAUUGUUCAAUAGCUUUGUGGAGACAGGAGGUGCUUUGAGAGCUUGCUGCAGCCACUUCACAUGUGGUCCUGUUAUGGCAAUAGCUUCUGGUUCUUUGUUAGCCCU